GCCUGGGUGGCUCAGUUGGUUAAGCGUCCAACUUUGACUUGGGUCAUGAUCUCGUGGUUUGUGGGUUCGAGCCCCGCAUUGGGCU
rnacentral:tRNA from 1 species